rnacentral:rRNA from 1 species
UACAGAGGGGGCAAGCGUUGUUCGGAAUUACUGGGCGUAAAGCGUGCGCAGGCGGUUGUGCAAGACAGAUGUGAAAUCCCCGGGCUCCAACCUGGGAAUUGCAUUUGUGACUGUACGGCUAGAGUGUGUCAGAGGGGGGUAGGAAUUCCACGUGUAGCAGUGAAAUGCGUAGAUAUCUGGAGGAACACCGGUGGCGAAGGCGGCAUCCUGGACCGGCAUUGACGCUGAGGCGCGAAAGCCAGGGGAGCAAACGGG